ACGGUGAAGCCGGGAAAACAGCGGCUAGUUUGGGAGGGAAGAAAACCUUCAGGGAAACGCCUAGAUUCUGGUCGGAGAAUUCUGGCGCCGAGUUUGAAGAGUAGGGGGUGGGGACGGUUUGGAU
rfam:Camelus ferus unplaced genomic scaffold scaffold56579, whole genome shotgun sequence.